UGCAGCAAGGAAGCUGGCUGUUGUUUGCGGUCAACUUUCUCUCGAUGGAACACAUAUAUUAGAAAUUACAAUGUAACACAUAAUAAUAUUUAUGUUUCAGAUUCACCCAAACACACCACAGUGUCAGUCAGUCCCUCUGGUCCAGUACCAGAAGACAGCACUGUGACUCUGACAUGCAGUAGUACUGCCAACCCAGCAGUAAGGAACUACACCUGGUACAGAGCUGAUGGAGGCCAGGAGACCUUUAUUGGGACCGGACGUGUUUUAAACAUUAAAGCUUCUGAAGUCAGUGGUCCUUUUUUCUGCAAGGCUGAAAAUGAUCUUGGAGCUGGACGAUCCAACAUCAGUCAAAUAGACGUUCAGUUUGCUCCACAGAUCCUGUUCUCCUCUUAUUGCACCAAAACUACAGACCAGCUCAACUGUUCCUGUGAGACUGUGGGAAAGCCUUCUCCCACUUUACAGUGGUAUUUGGAUGGGUUACCUUUCAAUCACUCAGACACGUUUGCAAUCAGCAAUGAGCCUCUAAAUGAGACAGGUCUGAGGAUAAUCAUCACUGUGAAUCAACCACAAUGGAGGAAUCUUUCCACUUUGCUCUGCCGCAGCUCCAACUCUCUGGGAUCUGCUACUCAGAGGUUUUAUUUCUACAGCCUUGAGCCUCAAACAUCUGCACAAUACCAAGUGACACUGACAGUCUUCAUCAUCAUAGUUGUUGCACUGCUAGUACUAGUAUGUGCUCUGCUGUUAGUCAACAGGGCUCAGAAGACUCGCCAUAACCUUCCUAAGGGCACCGUUGCUAUGAGUCAACUUCUAACAAGUGGAGAGGGAAACGAGGUACCCAACACAACAGAAGACGUCAUUUCUAUCAAUGCUGCUGUGCUGAGACAGGAAGAUGUCGCCCCUCCUGCAGCUGUCUCUGGCCCAAACAACGCCGACUCAGCAAGCUCUGGACCAAACAAUGCAGAAGGAGCCGAUAAAAACUCAGAGAAGAAGAAUGAAGGAGGCAGCGACGUGGUUUACGCGAGUGUGGACUGGAAGAGCAAGAGCAAGAAGAAGAAAAAGGAAGAAGACGCUGUGGACAUGGAUCAACCUGGUAGCUCCUAUCUUGAGGAGGAGAGGUGCAUGGUGGGAGGCAUGAGCAGAAAAUCUGUGAGCAACGCAAUGGAGAUGGGAAGCCUAUAUGACAAUGUAGAGCCUAGAAAUGUGAAGAAGGAAGUGGAAUGUGAAUAUGCCCAGGUUCAAUUUAAAAAAAAAAGUGAGAAGAAAUAGAUCACUUCUAUAUUGCUCUGCCUAUUUUUAAAACAAUAUAUUCAGAAUGUCUUGUUCUCUUGUACAUACGUUUCCUCAUUUGCUUUUUGUUGUUGCUUUGAAACAGAAUUUCAAAUGAACAGAAUUAUGUUUAAUUGUUUUUAAUUUAAGAGGUUUUUAACAUCUUGCAGAUUUUGUGUCACUGAAUAAUUUUGUUUUACAUGCAUGAUAUACUGUAUUUUUACUCAUAUAAUUAUGUUUGGCUUGUGUAAAUUGACAGAUCCUCUUCUGUUUUACAUUUAUUUAUUUUUACAUACCUUGCUGUAGAAACAAUAAUAAUCCAAUAAUCUGCAAAACUGCUUUCUGAUGAAAUGUUACGGAAUAAUGGUCUAACAUUGUUACAGCUGCUGUGUUCAGAAAUUAAGAGGUCAAAAGGUGACUCACUGACUGCUGUACAGCCGCUACUUUCUUAAACUGCUAAGCUUGUUUAUGGGUAAUAUUGAGUUUCAUCUGUUUGUAUCACUGUUGCUGAGUAUCAUUACACAUAAAAAAGAUGACACAGUAAGCAAAUAUUUCAAAUAUUAGUGUCAUCUGAAAAUUAUUUUACCCAACUUCUGGGAUUUGUCCUAGAACAGGAAAAAGUAAAAAAAAUAAAAAUAAAAGUUUAAAACCUGCAGAAUUCUCACAUUUAAACUGGAAAUGUACAUUGUUUAAUAAUUUUGCAAUCAAUAAAAGGUAUUUUAAAGUAUUUGUAGCUUUUCUGAUAUUGUUAAGUGUUUUAUUAACACUAUUUGCAAUGCAGUGUAUCUGUAUAAAAU
rnacentral:lncRNA from 15 species